rnacentral:rRNA from 1 species
GCCAUGCCGCGUGCAGGAUGACGGUCCUAUGGAUUGUAAACUGCUUUUGUACGAGAAGAAACACUCCAACGUGUUGGAGCUUGACGGUAUCGUAAGAAUAAGGAUCGGCUAACUCCGUGCCAGCAGCCGCGGUAAUACGGAGGAUCCAAGCGUUAUCCGGAAUCAUUGGGUUUAAAGGGUCCGUAGGCGGUUUAGUAAGUCAGUGGUGAAAGCCCAUCGCUCAACGGUGGAACGGCCAUUGAUACUGCUAAACUUGAAUUAUUAGGAAGUAACUAGAAUAUGUAGUGUAGCGGUGAAAUGCUUAGAGAUUACAUGGAAUACCAAUUGCGAAGGCAGGUUACUACUAAUGGAUUGACGCUGAUGGACGAAAGCGUGGGUAGCGAACAGGAUUAGAUACCCUGGUAGUCCACGCCGUAAACGAUGGAUACUAGCUGUUGGGAGCAAUCUCAGUGGCUAAGCGAAAGUGAUAAGUAUCCCACCUGGGGAGUACGUUCGCAAGAAUGAAACUCAAAGGAAUUGACGGGGGCCCGCACAAGCGGUGGAGCAUGUGGUUUAAUUCGAUGAUACGCGAGGAACCUUACCAAGGCUUAAAUGUAAUUUGACCGAUUUGGAAACAGAUCUUU